rnacentral:rRNA from 1 species
UACGUAGGUGACUAGCGUUGUCCGGAUUUACUGGGCGUAAAGAGCGCGCAGGCGGUCGUUCAAGUCGAGUGUGAAAGCCCCCGGCUCAACUGGGGAGGGUCAUUCGAUACUGAUCGACUCGAAGGCAGGAGAGGGAAGCGGAAUUCCCGGUGUAGCGGUGAAAUGCGCAGAUAUCGGGAGGAACACCAAUGGCGAAGGCAGCUUGCUGGGACGGUACUGACGCUGAGGCGCGAAAGCGUGGGGAGCAAACAGG